GACCCCGCUCGCCGCAACUAGAGAAAGCCCACGCACAGCAACGAAGACCCAACACAGCCAAAAAUUAAAACAAAUAAAUUAAUUAAACAAAAGUUAAAUACAUGAGCUGUUAUACUAAUGUACUGGGUAUAUUAUAAAAUAAAGUUUUUUAUAAGGAGGGUUUUUUUUUUCUGCAGCAAAUAUCUUUCUCAGCCCAGGGGUAUAUACAGCUGCUUCAGAGAACCGGAAGUUAGUGGUAUUGGGAAGUGACACGUGCAGGAACAGGUCCAAGAAGGCCGACGUGGGACCAGGUGACGGAGGUGGUGUGUUGUAAUGGGGGGAGCGCUGGCCUCAGAAUAUGGACCGUGUGAUUUGGGCACAUCCUCUAAAAGCUGGGGGCCCUGGAACCAAUCCCCCGCAGGCGGACUCACAUUGGGACUCCGAGGAAACUGGAGAAAGGACUUACCGCUGGCGUCUUCCCAAAGGACGUCCUGAAGAAACUUCCCCAGGGUCUGGCCGUGCUGGUGGGACUGAGCCCCUGACAGCUUGAUCCCAACGUCAAAGGGGGCGCUGAACUAGGAGGACCCAGGAGUUGUCAGAGGUCACACCCUCCCGUGCGUGCCCCACCCCCCUGCCCCAUCCCAGUGGAGGCCCUGGGCUCUCAGGAGAGGGAGAGAGGGGGGGCCUGGGGUCCAGCAGGCACCACUGAGGGGACAGCUCAGCCAGGUUACCCUCCUGCCCAGGCCUAGUCUUACCAUCCGCACCAUCUUUAGGAGGCUUACCUUGUACCCUCUUUCCUUACCUCUGAGAAGGUUACUGAUAAAAGCUGUUCCCUGCUCCUUGCAGCUUAGGAAGACAUAAGGUUGAAUGGCCAGUGGUAGAGCUUCAGGCCCUGGCAGGGUGAUCUGGGGAGCAGGGUUCUCCCUGGUGUACACAGCACUAGCCUGGGGGAUGGUCUCUGCCCCCCACCUUCCUCCCUUCCCAGGUGGUCUUUCUCUCAUUUGCACAGGCCUCUCCUUGUUCUGUGGGAAGUUGGACAGGAAGCUGACCUUUCCCUAGAACGAUGCUCUGAGCCAAGUUUGUUCUUCCUUCUGUGCCUCCGUCUCAUCCCUUCUACAGGGAGAGCACCCCAUUUCCCCUGCUUUCUUGGCAGCCUAUGAGAUGAUUUACUGGAGCUCAGUUUUGGGUGAAUAGGGAGGAGCUCUGUUUUCGGCCACAUCAUCGUUUCUCACCUGGGGAGCGGAGACUAUCUAGCUCCGUUCAUCCAGUAACUGCCUGGGUGCCUGGCCCUGUUGGUCACUGAGAUUCUGGAUGAGUUGACGCAGGGAUCUUGGGUCUGAAAGGGAGCCCUCGGUCCUUGGUCCUCCUGCCUCCUUGCCCUCCAGACAGGACACGUCAGUCGCAUUUUUCAGAUGAAGGAGCUGAGGCCCCGACUUGCCUGGGGCCACAGAGGGAGGUGGAGGCAAGGGCCAGACUGCAGGCCUGAGUCCACCAGCCCUGGAGCCUCUUUGAGCCCCAGAGCCCCUGCCCUGCCCUGCGUGCAGCUCUUGCCCUGGUCAGGCCCAGACUGAGCCCCUUUCCCUCCGGGCAGGAGCCACUGUUGAUCCUAUUUCACAGAUGAGCAGAGAUGCUCAGAGAUGUUAUUAAAACAACAGGUAUCUGUUGGUCCCCUUUUUAAAAUUUACCUCCACCUCUUGUCUCCACCGUGAAGGUGGAGCAAGUGGAGAUGAUACGAGUGAUUUUGGGGGAACUGAGGCCCCUCUGUUCCCUCCCUUCAGUAAAUGCUCAUUUCGCCUCCACCCCUGUGGCUCAUGCGGGUGGUUGGAUGACCCCAGCCGACUUUGCAGCACCACGAGCACCAAGCUGGGGACCUGCUGGGCUGGUUUGCACCCUGGAACCGGCGACGGGCAACUGACGGGAGGUGCAGCAGCUGUUGGAUAGGGGUGCGGCUUUGAGCAACUUGAAAAGGUGCCUUAGUGUCUCAUGUGAUCAGUGGGGGAUGGGUGGAACUUGGCCUCGAAAGCUUCCAGCUCUGAAACUUGAUUGAUUUCAGGAAAACUUUUGGAGGGGCUGUAGGGGCCUGGGAUGAGUGAGGUGGGACCCCGGCCCUGGAGGGGUUCGGUGGGCACAGCCAGAGCUCUGCGGCCUGUGUCACAGGCCUCCCACCUGCCUCUGGCGUCUCACCACCUCCGACAUUUCAGACUCCUGGUUCUAGCGGAGGCAGGGCCUGCCGUUUGCUCUGUGGAAACUGGAAACGUCCAGCCGCGAGUCAUCAGCCACUGGAACCUCUUCCCCGCCUGGGCUAACUUAGGGCGUCUCUGGCCCCGCUGGACCUGGCAGUCUCACCGGGAAAGUUCCCUGGUUUUAGUCUAAGGAUUUGCAGGCUGAUGAGUGGGAACGUGGCGGGUGGGGUCCCACACGUGGUGGAGGAGGCGCCUGGCGAGGGUCAGAGGGCGAGGGUUGGGGAUUUGACCCCUGAGGGGAGGAGAGGCUGGGGGUAGGUGGAGGGAGGCCAAGGCAGGGCAGAGGAGACUUCCUGGGCCACCUGCUCGCUCUCUGCCAGACCGGUGAUGGGGACACAGGGCUUGGGGACUGGAGUCCCCCAGACUGUGGGUCCCACUUCUUCCCCAUGCAGGGCUGCGGCCCCUCAGCCCAGUGAGCUCCCUGGGCUGAGCCUCGGUUCCUCAUCUCUAAAUGAGGGCACAGAAACCAGCCCCACUGACUUCACAGGCGGUUGUAGAGGUUAAGUGCGAAGCAGGAGGAUAAAGCAGCCGGAGAGUGAGACCGCAGUUACUAGCAGUAGUUACUAGGCACCACCCGGGGAUUCUGGUUUCCCUGCGUGCGGGGAUCUGUCCUCACCUAAACUCUUGUCAGAACCAUUCCCCGGACCGCGGCUGCCUGGCAGGGGUAACUAUAAAACGCCUUCACGCUUUCUCUCUCCUAGUCCUUCGUUUGUCUCUAAACGGCUCCCCUACCCCGUGAACUACUCAUCAAAGCUCAAGCAAGCCUGAUGAGCCCCAUCCUCGUCUACAGGUGGGGUUUGGUGAGAGCUGGGCUCACCGCUCACCUGUCCAGGCCGCCGCCUGGUAAGAUUGGGUAAGGUAAGGUCCAAGGGGCCCCUGAGUCGAUCAGAAAGUUUUCUGCAGGAAACGCCUCCAGUCUGUGACCAGCUCUUCCUUCCUGAGUGUCUGUUUGCUGGCUCCCCUCUGAGAUCACCUGGCAUCUGCUGGUGCCCCCUCUCCCCUCUGCUUGAGGCUCAUCCUAAUACAGCAAAGUUGCUUAGAUGUUUGCCUGUUGAUCGGCAAAGCCCAUCUCAACAGAGCCCAGUGGUGCAGAGUCCACUGUUUUUGUGCUGUUUAAUGUUCCUUGAGUGGCUGGUAAGUGAGUCCCUGUGGAUGGCCGCCUCUCCACGGCCUCCCCCGCCCCAUCCCCUCCACUGCAGAAAGCAUAAAGCUGCAGAGGGACCCACCUGGAUUUCCAGCUCGUCCCCUGUGCCUUCCGCCUGACUUCUGACGUCUGCGUCAAGCCAGCCUUCCAGGGCCCGGGGCUUUGGUUUGGCUGACGGCUUCUUAGAUUCCUUUCUCUGCUGGAAAGAGGAGGUGUUCUCCUUAGGGCCCUAAGCCUCCCUGUCCUUCCAGAAGCAGAGUGAGGUGUGGGCCCAUGGUCAGACCCAGAGUCCUCCUUUGUGCUCUGGGAGAAGAAGGCUGAAGCGCAGAGAGGGUGAGCCACUGCCCAGCUCACGCAGCUCACGGCAGGGCUGCAGUCAGAUUCCCCAGUCAGAGCGCAGGCCUCGUGGGGGGACGUCUCACCUGCACUUUCUGGUGUUCGGGGCUCAGGAAGCUGGAGCCCGCCAUGGCCAAGUCCACCCAGAGCACACUGAAGAGCAGCAGGCUGCAGACGGUCCCUGGGGAGGGCAUGGCCUCGGCCGGCUGGGGACAGAUGGGCCUGGCGGAGAGAGCAUCUCUGGGCAGCAUGCGCCCCCAUUCCAUCCCCUCUUUUCCCCCCGCUUCCCUCCCUGUGCCUCUGAGCCCAGCAGACAGGCUGAAGGGCUCUGACCUGGACCUGGGGCCAUGAUUGCUGAGUAGAGCGGCUCUUAGCGCCCUCUCUGCCCGCCUCCCCCAGGCCCCGAGGACCUUGUGCCAAGUUUCUCGAGGAUGUUUGAGGAAGCUGACCUGGCAAGGUCCCAGGAGACAUGGGGGCCCUGGGGUGGCUCCCAAGCCCAGCUCUGAGCAACCAGGCUGCCCCAGGUCAUGCCACCUCCCCGAGUUCAGGUGGGCCUGCGGAUGCCCGGCAGUGGAGGUGAAUUAACCCAUAAACAGACCCUCCCACACACAAGAGAGUGGCCGGAGUGCCUACCUGGGAUUCCUGGUGGAGGUGGUGCCUGGUGGCUGUCUGGUCAUUAUAUAGGCAGCCUGUGUUUGUUUUAAACCAGCAGCCCCACCUCAGGGCAGCCCAGUAUCCGGGGGCUGAUUGACAUUCCUUGGGAACUAAAAAUACUACGCACGUUGUCCUCGGGGUAGAAAUCAACAGCGGUGGGCAAACGCCCUGAGAGAUGGCUGGGUGGCCUGGGACAGCCACGUGAGGUGGCCAUCUGCUGCUCCUCUCUGCAAGCGUGCCUGGCCCUGGUUUAGGUGGGAGGGAGGAGAGUGGCCCUGGGUCUGGUCUGGCUUUGCUGCUCUGCGGCCUUGGCUUACUGGCCCUUCUGCCACUCCCUUCCUCCCGGGAUAGAACGAGGUAUCCUCACUCGAACUCAGGAGCUUGUCCUGCCCCUGCGCUCGCUGCUCUCCAUGAGGGAUGCUGCUCUGGCUCCCACAGACCCCGAGCACAUGGGACGCUGGCUCGUGGAACUCUCACACGUCCACGAGGGAAGCCCCAUUUUUCAGAUGAGGAAACUGCAGGGAAGCAGGGCAGAGACCAUCUCCAACAGGGGCUGAACUCCAGUCCUGUUUUUUUUUUUAAAAUGUGUAGUAUGAUCCCAUUUUAUGGAAAAAAUACACGAUAAAAAUACAACAAAUAUAGACAGCCAACUAUCUGGAAGGACAUGUGCUAUUGAAUUUCUUUCUUCUUUGUAAUUAUUUUUAGUGCUUAGGUUGAAUAUUCAUUUGGUAAUAAGAAACAAGCAAAUAAGAAGUGUCUUACUUUUCUGUAACUCUUGGUAGAAUCACAUGCUCCACCUUGCAAAAAAAAUCAAACCUGAGUCUAUAGAUGCUGUAGUUUCAAUUACCAACUCCCAAGAAAUACAGGGGAUGGACGAGUGUGUAAAGAGGACCCACAGGGAUGCAAUCAGCCCAAUACAAACUGAGGGCAACAUAAGAGGCAAGUGUCCAAUCCCUUCUUUUGGGUGGUGGUGAUGGCUCUGCUCAGCUUGGUCUUUCUUAA